UGGCGAGCGAACACGGAAGAGCCCAAACCCAUGUCGUCUAGGCGACACGGGGGUUGUAGGACCACGACGUGGCAAGAAGGAAGGGAAAUGGAACGACUUGGAAAAGUCGGCCAUAGACGGUGAAAGCCCGGUACAUGACUCCCUUACGAAGCCUAGUGGUAUCCUGAGUAGCGCGGGGCACGAGAAAUCUUGCGUGAAACAGCGGGGCCCAUCCCGUAAGGCUAAAUACUCCCGAGAGACCGAUAGCGAACCAGUACCGUGAGGGAAAGGUGAAAAGA
rnacentral:rRNA from 1 species